rnacentral:rRNA from 1 species
CUUGGUGUUACUGCGAAGGGGGGACGGAGAAGGCUAUGUUAGCCGGGCGACGGUUGUCCCGGUUUAAGCAUGUAGGCUGGUUAUCCAGGCAAAUCCGGAUAAUCAAGGCUGAGGUGUGAUGACGAGGCACUACGGUGCUGAAGUAACAAAUGCCCUGCUUCCAGGAAAAGCCUCUAAGCAUCAGGUAACAUUAAAUCGUACCCCAAACCGACACAGGUGGUCAGGUAGAGAAUACCAAGGCGCUUGAGAGAACUCGGGUGAAGGAACUAGGCAAAAUGGUGCCGUAACUUCGGGAGAAGGCACGCUGGUGUGUAGGUGAAGUCCCUGCGGAUGGAGCUGAGACCAGUCGAAGAUACCAGCUGGCUGCAACUGUUUAUUAAAAACACAGCACUGUGCAAACACGAAAGUGGACGUAUACGGUGUGACGCCUGCCCGGUGCCGGAAGGUUAAUUGAUGGGGUUAUCCGUAAGGAGAAGCUCUUGAUCGAAGCCCCGGUAAACGGCGGCCGUAACUAUAACGGUCCUAAGGUAGCGAAAUUCCUUGUCGGGUAAGUUCCGACCUGCACGAAUGGCGUAAUGAUGGCCAGGCUGUCUCCACCCGAGACUCAGUGAAAUUGAACUCGCUGUGAAGAUGCAGUGUACCCGCGGCAAGACGGAAAGACCCCGUGAACCUUUACUAUAGCUUGACACUGAACAUUGAGCCUUGAUGUGUAGGAUAGGUGGGAGGCUUUGAAGCGUGGACGCCAGUCUGCGUGGAGCCAACCUUGAAAUACCACCCUUUAAUGUUUGAUGUUCUAACGUUGGCCCCUGACCGGGGUUGCGGACAGUGUCUGGUGGGUAGUUUGACUGGGGCGGUCUCCUCCCAAAGCGUAACGGAGGAGCACGAAGGUUAGCUAAUCCUGGUCGGACAUCAGGAGGUUAGUGCAAUGGCAUAAGCUAGCUUGACUGCGAGCGUGACGGCGCGAGCAGGUGCGAAAGCAGGUCAUAGUGAUCCGGUGGUUCUGAAUGGAAGGGCCAUCGCUCAACGGAUAAAAGGUACUCCGGGGAUAACAGGCUGAUACCGCCCAAGAGUUCAUAUCGACGGCGGUGUUUGGCACCUCGAUGUCGGCUCAUCACAUCCUGGGGCUGAAGUAGGUCCCAAGGGUAUGGCUGUUCGCCAUUUAAAGUGGUACGCGAGCUGGGUUUAGAACGUCGUGAGACAGUUCGGUCCCUAUCUGCCGUGGGCGCUGGAGAAUUGAGGGGGGCUGCUCCUAGUACGAGAGGACCGGAGUGGACGCAUCACUGGUGUUCGGGUUGUCAUGCCAAUGGCACUGCCCGGUAGCUAAAUGCGGAAGAGAUAAGUGCUGAAAGCAUCUAAGCACGAAACUUGCCCCGAGAUGAGUUCUCCCUGAGACUUUAAGUCUCCUGAAGGAACGUUAAAGACGAUGACGUUGAUAGGCCGGGUGUGUAAGCGCAGCGAUGCGUUGAGCUAACCGGUACUAAUGAACCGUGAGGCUUAACC